rnacentral:rRNA from 1 species
AAUGAACGCUGGCGGCAGGCCUAACACAUGCAAGUCGAACGGAUCCUUCGGGAUUAGUGGCGGACGGGUGAGUAACGCGUGGGAACAUACCCUUUGGUACGGAAUAGCCUCGGGAAACUGGGAGUAAUACCGUAUGUGCUCUUCGGAGGAAAGAUUUAUCGCCAAAGGAUUGGCCCGCGUUGGAUUAGGUAGUUGGUGGGGUAAUGGCCUACCAAGCCGACGAUCCAUAGCUGGUUUGAGAGGAUGAUCAGCCACACUGGGACUGAGACACGGCCCAGACUCCUACGGGAGGCAGCAGUGGGGAAUCUUAGACAAUGGGGGCAACCCUGAUCUAGCCAUGCCGCGUGAUCGAUGAAGGCCUUAGGGUUGUAAAGAUCUUUCAGUGGGGAAGAUAAUGACGGUACCCACAGAAGAAGCCCCGGCUAACUCCGUGCCAGCAGCCGCGGUAAU